CUGUCCCAACUAUAUUCACAAUUUGAUAUGGAGAUGGAUGCAAUUCUCCAUUGAUGAGACGGAAUUCACCACUUAGUGCUGUUUUUAGCACUGUGUUUUGCAUAGAGUCAAGGAGCAGAGAUCCCAAUUCUGAGGUUCCAAGUGCAUCUAGGUCCGUUAAGUUCUCUCUAGUGUCCGGUUUCUUGAAUUUUGGGAUAGCAGUGCUGCCCAUUUCCACUACUGCUUUUGCUAACGCGGUGAUGCUAUCAUAUGCCCAUAGCCCAAAAACAUUGAGUUCAACUGGAUCCAUGUCUGGAUACACUUGACGAAAUCUCUUUCUCCAUCUCUUGGUGAACAUGUCAAGCUCAUUUGAUCUUGGAACAUAAGAUUUUACACCCAGAACACCUUGCAUUGAUGACUCAAUUACUGAAGGAUCUACCAGGUCCAGAAGACUUGUUAGCACAUCUGUGAUUAUCCAUGCAUAUCCACUGCUCAUCAUCCCGGCUUCUUUGGCCUUGAGGAAAAGGCGGGAGGCAAGAGAUGAUUCUAAGUGUACGAUGAACACCCUGGUCUGCAUUGUAUUCAACUUGUAUAGCUCCCUGAAGAUCUGAUCAUCACUGGCUGAAGGAGAAAUACCACUUCUAUAGGAGACUAAACUGUUGUUUUCCAGCAAGGCAUCUGUCAAAUGUGGAAGCAUCCCGCUUCCAUAGGGGCUAUCCUCAUAGAUUACUACAACGUCCCUCCAAUUAUAGUUUUUAACAAUUGCCGCUAUGGCUUUAGUCUGGCUGGAAGAAGGAAGUGCUCCUCUGAUGAAGAAGGGAUUUUCCUUGACUGAAAGUGAAGGACUAGUUGCUGGAGAAAUGAUAGGGACUUUUACUCGGUUCCCUAAGUCAAUCACAAAAUCAGUUUGUGUAGACAUUUGUGGCCCAACGAUGGCUUGUACUUGAACAUCCUUUAGCAAGUAUAUGGCUGCACAUACACAAUCAGACUAUAAGGAAUUGUCUGAACAGAAAACCAAAGGGAAAAAAGAAGAAAAGAGAAAAAGAUAUGCUAGCUUAACAGAAGUAAAUCAUGGAGCUGAAUUAAUUUACCUGCAGAUGCUGCUUCAACAUCAUCUUUCUUGGAAUCCCUCAAGUGAGGGACUAUCCUAAUAGCUCUGGGACUAGUGGUGGCAUGGUAAUCUUCAAGAGCUAGUAAGAUAGAUAUGUGCAUUACUUUUGCCACAACUGUUUCCAUAUAAGAACUAUACCCACAUCCACCUUUACAACACUAGUUUCAUCUUCACCUCUUAUUGGAAUUACAUAGUGGCAAAAGCUAAUAAUGGAGACAAGUUGAAUGAAGAGAAUUAGGCAGUAGUAUCUUUGAUUUUGCAUUUGAAAAACUCUGGUAGCAAGUAGUUUGAGAGUUGGGAAAGAAGCAAUUCUGCUUGUGCAAGUAAUUAACCACUUUCUAGAGAUGUGUCUAAAAAUCUCUUAACUGUGUGGCUCUAGAUAUAUGGUUUCAGAAUCUGGGAACUUCAUAUACUUGGACCAGUAAAUACCUUGCAAAACUAUAAUAAGGCAAUGUAGAAUGAAAAGUCAAAGAUAAAGUUUCCAAAGAAUAAUUGAGAGAGGACUUUUCAUACAUUCUUAACUAGUAAGUUCCCUCCUCAAUUUGACCCAAUAAAAAUCUGACAAAACGAACGCAGUGACAAAAACUCAUUUGGUUGACCUUGGAAUGGUGCUUAUUUUACAUGGUUCCUGUUUAUACUUGGUCAUUAGUAACUUGCUUGGACACCAAAUAAUGAAACAAUACCCACCAUUGGAUCGAGUGGCCGAUCUAGGAUUUUCAUUCAUGGGGAUUUGUAAAUAAAAAUGUAAAAAGUAUUAACUUCCUUGGACACUCAAUAAUGAAACAACCACCACCAUUGGCUCUAGUGGCAUGCUGAUUCAGGAUUUUCACUCUGAGAGUUCCGAAAAAUAAAAAUGUAAAAGAUAAUGCAGUCCUUGAGAAUUGAACCUUGGACAUUGGGGUGUAUUUUGAAUUUCCUGAAUUGCAGAGCUAACCUUUUGCAUGUUAUUUAGGGGAUUCACAAUUUAUAUGUACAUCAACAUAGAAAAUAUAUCCUAUAUAUACAUUUUAAUUUUUUGUUGAAGGGGUUUGGGUGAACACUCUCCGGCUCUUGAUUGGCUCAUUGACACUGUUAUUGUUAGUGCAAGAAGAAACUGCUAGGGAAGUUGCCUAUGAUAUAUGUUGAAGCAGAUGGGAUAUAAGAUUCUGAUUUGAUGGGUUCAAUAUUUAGGUUCUUACCAUUGAGCCCAUUACACUUUGAAAUUAUGGGUUCAUGUUCUAUUAUUUAUUAAAAUUUUAGUGAUUUUUCACAUUAUACUUUUAUGAUCCGUGUCGAAAAUGCAAAUCUUAUACUUAAAUUCGCCAUCCGCCCUGUGUGACUGAACAUAUUACUGUUUGUCUUCCAUGUAGCAGUGAUCCUAAAACCUUUCCUUAUUUAUGAUCUGUAACUAUGUUCUUAUCCUCUAGGCUAGUUCUAGCACCUGCAUUAUAAAUUCACUACUACUAGAUCUUUCUUUCUUAUUUAAUUUGGGCUUUGCAGAUUGCUUUUUCUUAUCAAAAAAUUGCACAAAUCUCUCAUGUGGUUAUUCACAUAUAACCCCCAUUAUUUCAUAUUUUAUAUAAGAAUUAUGUAAUCAAAAAAUAAUUUGGCAUCUUAUGUGUUGAUUUUAUUGUUUUUGUUCUAUUAUUGUAACAUAACAAAACUACCUCAAUUGAAUUUCUUGAAAACGGAUGCAUGUAUUGAAUUCUUUCAUGCCACACAUAUAACUUCGUUUAAUUAUAUUCCAAACAUAAGUACAACAACAACAACAUAAGUAGUGAUGAAAAAAACAAAGUGAACAUAAAAUUGCUAGAAAAACAACUAAGAAAAAGUAAGGGUUGAAUCCAUCUAAUGGAAUCCUGGAGGCCACCUCUUGAUGCUAAUAUUAUGGCCAAGAGUGACAAAGAAAUAAUGUAAUCUGAUUUAACUAACCCUAAAGCUAGCUCAUCUCUGUACAAUCUCUUGUAGGGCCCUAUUCAGGUGUGUCACAAUUAUGUUAGCAGCUAUCUGUGUCAUCUUUCUUCAAUCGUGCCUGACAUUGUUUCAUGAACUGGGGUUCCAGUUUCUGUUGUAGAGAACCCUUCAGAAGCAGGGGAUUCUCCUAGGCCAUCGGAGAUUCCGAUUUCUGGGCUUUGCAAAGGAAGGUUGGGCGAUAAUUCAAUAGAAGCAUCACUUUCUGCAAACACUGUAGCCGUUAGGCUUUCAUUCCCUUCAGAUGGCUUUUUUGACAUAGAAUUAGAGUCGUCUCUCUUUAAAUCAAAGACUUUUUGCUAUUGCACAAAGCUUUUUUCCUAUUGAAUCAUCAGUGGCUAAGAUUUCUCUAUUCUGAUAAAGGAAGAUGACGAAGAAUACGAGAAGAGCGGAGCCUGCUGAUACACCAGCUAUGAGGAAAAGGCCCUUAAAACUAUCAAGCGUGAGGCUAGAUGCUGUAGCCAUUCCAUCUGGCUUUGGACAAUCUGUUUCGUUCCCAAACCAUUUCUGAAUUAUGUUAUUCAUAGUCUCUCCCUCUAUCACCUUCAAGACUGCUCUUGAGACGUCAGGUACCAAAGGAGAUCCUUUUGGAAAUGCCUGCAACAAGUUGUGGGAAAAUUAAAGAUUAGAUCAUUGAGUAAACCACUAACCACUCUAAAUAAAUGUCAACACUUUCUGAAACAUCAGUUAAGUACAACAAUCUUACAAAUCCAAAGCCGGCAGCCUUGUAUGUCGGACCAACCAUAAUAUACUUCCUGCAGUAUUUGUUCAGCAAGAGUCUGAGAUAAGGUAGUUCAUCAACAAUUGCACCAACACCUCCAUUUUUACUACCUCUUGAGAGUGCAUCAUUAUACUCUUCCAAUGUGCUAUAACUCCUAAAUUUGGAGCUGUCAAAUUUCAUGCGUGUCAAGACAUCUUUGACAAAGGAACCUUUUUGGUACCCUACAUAUUCUCCAUUCUUGAUGAGAUCAUUGAGGUCUGUUAUAGUAGGUUGAAGCUGUUGCACUGUUAACAUAGAUGUUAAGCUGGCUGUAUAGCUUGAUGUCAGCACCAGAACCACGAAAACCCACACAAUCAGCACAAAUCUUGAUAAGUUACUUGUUAUCUUCUCUUCUGCAACAACCAGUCAUAUAUAGGAUUUGUUGAGAAACAAGGAGAAAUCUUAAACUUUUGGUCUAUAAUUUGAUUUGAGUUAGAGACUUACUAUGAGCAAAAACGAGAGUUGAGAAGGAAAACCAAAAUAUCAUCCCAACUUGCUUGCGUUUGGGUCCUCGAAAAUGUUUGUUUACACGAUGUUCGAGUACCCAAACCACAAAACCAAUGAAGACGAAGAAUGCUCCUGUUGCUAUCCACAGCUCGGCCUUUAAAGGUUUCAAGAAGAUCCAAGCGUUUUUCCUAUCAUCAUUCCUUACAGGCACAACUGCAGAAAUACUCGACUCUGAAAAAGGUAAUGUGAAAUCUACAUACUCAGAUCGGCUUGCUAAAAUGGUAACAUCACCUACAACUGCAUCAUAUUCCUGGUUCAAGCAAACAUUGAUUAUUUCAGUAUUUAUUGUUGGUCGCAAAAGCAGAACAUAGAUAAGGAGUCCAAAAAAGGAGCAUGUAAGUGAGUUAUUCAGCUGAAGAGGUUAAUUUUACCUUAGAAGUGAUCUUGUGAACAAGAUCAUCAUAGUUUUGAGAAGUAGGGCUAUGUGCUAUUGGAAAUGGAAUAAAUUCAUAGGGGACAGCAUAUGGCAAAGAUAGGAUGACUUCUUUGAAGACAUCUGGACCUAAACCAGUUGCAAUUACUGCUUGUGUCUUUGGAUCUCUUUCCACUUUAAUGAAUUGCUCCAGCCCUCCUUUGUCUGGAACUCCAACCCUUAACUUCUUCCCACUUGUGGGUAUUUCCCAGCCUCUCGGAACAAUAGUAGAUUCACCAGGCCAAAUGAUGACCCCUAGUUGCUUAUUAUUAGUUUUAGCUAUUUUACCAUUCAUCUUCAGUUUAUGCAAAAUGCCAUCCUUCUCUGUCCAGAAUCCAACACUUUUCUCUCCUUUCCCAAUUAUAUUCACAAUCUGAUAUGGGGAUGGCUGCAGUUCUCUAUCAACGAUACGGAAAUCACCACUUAGUCUUGGUUUUAGCUCUGCGUUUUGCAUAAAGUCAAUGAGCAGAGAUCCCACUUCUGAGGUUCCAAGUGCGUCUAGGUCUGUUAUGUUCUCUCUAGUGUCUGGUUUCCUUAAUUUUGGGAUAGCAGUAGUGCCCGCUUUCUCUACUGCUUCUGCUAAUAAGGUGAUGCUAUCAUAUGCCCAUAGCCC
rnacentral:lncRNA from 1 species